rnacentral:rRNA from 1 species
UACGAAGGGGGCUAGCGUUGCUCGGAAUCACUGGGCGUAAAGGGUGCGUAGGCGGGUCUUUAAGUCAGGGGUGAAAUCCUGGAGCUCAACUCCAGAACUGCCUUUGAUACUGAAGAUCUUGAGUUCGGGAGAGGUGAGUGGAACUGCGAGUGUAGAGGUGAAAUUCGUAGAUAUUCGCAAGAACACCGGUGGCGAAGGCGGCCCACUGGAUCGGUACUGACGCUGAGGUGCGAAAGCGUGGGGAGCAAACAGG